rnacentral:snRNA from 1 species
GCACUUGCUUUAGAGUACAUGCAAUCAACUGAGACAAUAUGUGUAAAAAUAUUAUUAUGGCCCCUGCAAAAAGAUGACAUGCCAGUUCUUGAAGCAUUCCUUAUUUGA